AGUGAACGCUGGCGGUAGGCCUAACACAUGCAAGUCGAACGGCAGCACAGUAAGAGCUUGCUCUUACGGGUGGCGAGUGGCGGACGGGUGAGGAAUACAUCGGAAUCUACUUUUUCGUGGGGGAUAACGUAGGGAAACUUACGCUAAUACCGCAUACGACCCACGGGUGAAAGCAGGGGAUCUUCGGACCUUGCGCGAUUGAAUGAGCCGAUGUCGGAUUAGCUAGUUGGCGGGGUAAAGGCCCACCAAGGCGACGAUCCGUAGCUGGUCUGAGAGGAUGAUCAGCCACACUGGAACUGAGACACGGUCCAGACUCCUACGGGAGGCAGCAGUGGGGAAUAUUGGACAAUGGGCGCAAGCCUGAUCCAGCCAGACCGCGUGGGUGAAGAAGGCCUUCGGGUUGUAAAGCCCUUUUGUUGGGAAAGAAAAGCAGCAGGUUAAUACCCCGCUGUUCUGACGGUACCCAAAGAAUAAGCACCGGCUAACUUCGUG
rnacentral:rRNA from 1 species